AUGUCCACGGCCAGUCAGUGCAUCUUCCUCAAGGAAGAAGCACACAAGCAAUAUGACCAGCGCGCCGCAGAUCCCGAGCUUCCGAGAAUUGCUCUCUGCGGCUGCAAGAGGCCGCCAGACUGCGCGUGGUACGGCUCUGGAUGCUUGUCCCAGAAUCCAGUGGCAAGCCCACGCCGCCGUGCUGAAGGAGAGCGAGAGAAGAAAACAAGAGCUAGGCUGGGAGAAACGCAGAAAUCCAAGCACCUCCGCCACGCUGCUCUCUCCGAAAUGCAGAAUCCAAGCAUCUUCACCCGAGCUGCUUUUCCAGUUCCCACACCCUCCUCUCGGUCCUCUGGCAUACAGACAUACACCUCUGCAUGUUCAGAGAUGAUACGCCAUAAAUCUGUGCUUCCCCUUGGCUUUCACCGUCAUCACUACCCCAGGCAUCCUAGGUAG
rnacentral:rRNA from 1 species